rnacentral:rRNA from 1 species
AUACGUAGGGAGCAAGCGUUGUCCGGAAUUACUGGGUGUAAAGGGAGCGUAGGCGGGACGGCAAGUCAGAUGUGAAAUUUAUGGGCUCAACUCAUAACCUGCAUUUGAAACUGCUGUUCUUGAGUGAAGUAGAGGUAAGCGGAAUUCCUGGUGUAGCGGUGAAAUGCGUAGAUAUCAGGAGGAACAUCGGUGGCGAAGGCGGCUUACUGGGUCUUUUACUGACGCUGAGGCUCGAAAGCGUGGGGAGC